rnacentral:rRNA from 1 species
CUGUGGGAUCAGUGGCGAACGGGUGAGUAACACGUGAGCAACCUGCCCCUGACUCUGGGAUAAGCGCUGGAAACGGCGUCUAAUACUGGAUAUGUGACGUGACCGCAUGGUCUGCGUUUGGAAAGAAUUUCGGUUGGGGAUGGGCUCGCGGCCUAUCAGCUUGUUGGUGAGGUAAUGGCUCACCAAGGCGUCGACGGGUAGCCGGCCUGAGAGGGUGACCGGCCACACUGGGACUGAGACACGGCCCAGACUCCUACGGGAGGCAGCAGUGGGGAAUAUUGCACAAUGGGCGCAAGCCUGAUGCAGCAACGCCGCGUGAGGGACGACGGCCUUCGGGUUGUAAACCUCUUU